rnacentral:rRNA from 1 species
UGCACGUUAUUUCUAUGACAUAAAACUAAAUGAGAUAUCACUCAACUCACAUGAACUUUGGAUAACAUUGUAGUUAAACAUUGAUUACUUGCAAUGCAUUAGCAACCCCAAAAUGUUAGAACUGAAUCUUGAACGCUUGUAAUAAAAUUUUACCAUCCUCAAGAAUUUAAAGAGAAAGAAAGGUUUGCACUUACAUUCCUGUUAGUCCACUGCCAAUUCAUAGU